ensembl:misc_RNA
CAAGAUCUUUUUUUCCAGUGGAGACUGCUGACCUGAAGCAAUCCUACGAUCUUUAGAUGAUGUACCCCAGGCCAAU